rnacentral:lncRNA from 1 species
CCCAGGGAGGAUGGGGAAUGGCACAAAGCUGACGAGGCACUGGGCUGCUAGAGUUUCAUUCCGGCUUUGUCCUUGAAGCACAAAGCACCACGUGCCCAGUAGUGGCCCUCCUGGGCGCUUGGGGAAGAGAGAGGCCUGUCUCAGCAAGUGCAGGACCACUGAGACCAAAGAGCCCAGCACUCCACCCCCUCAAAAGUUCAGCUCUUUUGGCUCUGUGGCCAUUUCAGAAACACGGAUAUCUUUGUCAUCCUGCCUAACAAGGAAACCUCCCUAUAGCCCUCACCAAAGGCCUCACUUUGGCCGAAGUGGCCAAAGGGCCCGACAUCCUGGUUCAGCCCCAACCCCACCACCCACCACCUCCCUACAGUCCUCGGGGGAGUCACCAAGCCUGGGGAUAGGAAAAGCAUGCCCUCCUGAUGUAAAACUCCCCAGACGGUACCCCACCAACUUCUGAUCUGCUUGUCUCUGUGCUAUAGGGUAUUCAAAGGGACCACUUGUCCUGGGGACAAGACCCACAGAGCUGCCGGCCAAGGAACACUAAAUCAAGAAUGUGUGUGAAAGCCAGGGCAUUGGCCCAACACACAUAUAUCCAUCAUGGCUUCCAGCGCUUUGCCACCCCAGUGGAGGGAAGGAAGGAAGGAAGGAAGGAAGGAAGGAAGGAAGGAAGGAAGGAAGGAAGGAAGGAAGGAAGGCUCUUGUCCAAGAGUUCAAUGAGAGUCCCUGUGACCAGGAAGAUGGAUUGAAUGAUGAGCUUGGGGAAGAGAGAUGUCAGCAUUCCCGAAUCUACACAAAAUGAAGGAAGAGAUUCCUAGAGGAAACUCAGAGUCAUCAGAAGUACAGGGACAGUGUGCUGGGAAGAGAAAAACACUGAGGACCCAACAUGGAAUGAAGAUGGGACCCUGUGGCUGGUCUGCUAUUUACACAGGCUGAAGCAAUUAUUCCUCCUUUCAGGUUUGUUCUCCCCAGGGCUCAGGUUACAGCACUUGGUAUUUGAGCUGAGCUGCUGAGAGUAAGCUUG